rnacentral:rRNA from 1 species
UAUUGCACAAUGGGGGGAACCCUGAUGCAGCGACGCCGCGUGAGUGAAGAAGUAUUUCGGUAUGUAAAGCUCUAUCAGCAGGGAAGAAAAUGACGGUACCUGAAUAAGGAGCCCCGGCUAACUACGUGCCAGCAGCCGCGGUAAUACGGAGGGGGCGAGCGUUAUCCGGAUUUACUGGGUGUAAAGGGAGCGUAGACGGUUAUGCAAGUCUGGGGUGAAAGCCCGGGGCUCAACCCCGGGACUGCUUUGGAAACUGUAAAACUGGAGUGCAGGAGAGGCAGGCGGAAUUCCUAGUGUAGCGGUGAAAUGCGUAGAUAUUAGGAGGAACACCAGUGGCGAAGGCGGCUUACUGGACUGUAACUGACACUGAGGCUCGAAAGCGUGGGGAGCAAACAGG